rfam:Thauera terpenica 58Eu Cont9, whole genome shotgun sequence.
AGGCGCGUAGCUCAGUUGGUUAGAGCACCACCUUGACAUGGUGGGGGUCGUUGGUUCGAAUCCAAUCGCGCCUA